rnacentral:rRNA from 1 species
GCAUGCCUAACACAUGCAAGUCGAACGAGACCUUCGGGUCUAGUGGCGCACGGGUGCGUAACGCGUGGGAAUCUGCCCUUGGGUUCGGAAUAACAGUGAGAAAUUACUGCUAAUACCGGAUGAUGUCUUCGGACCAAAGAUUUAUCGCCCAGGGAUGAGCCCGCGUAGGAUUAGCUAGUUGGUGGGGUAAUGGCCUACCAAGGCGACGAUCCUUAGCUGGUCUGAGAGGAUGAUCAGCCACACUGGGACUGAGACACGGCCCAGACUCCUACGGGAGGCAGCAGUGGGGAAUAUUGGACAAUGGGCGAAAGCCUGAUCCAGCAAUGCCGCGUGAGUGAUGAAGGCCUUAGGGUUGUAAAGCUCUUUUACCCGGGAUGAUAAUGACAGUACCGGGAGAAUAAGCUCCGGCUAACUCCGUGCCAGCAGCCGCGGUAAUACGGAGGGAGCUAGCGUUGUUCGGAAUUACUGGGCGUAAAGCGCGCGUAGGCGGCUGCUCAAGUCAGAGGUGAAAGCCCGGGGCUCAACCCCGGAACUGCCUUUGAAACUAGGUAGCUAGAAUCUUGGAGAGGUCAGUGGAAUUCCGACUGUAGAGGUGAAAUU